rnacentral:rRNA from 1 species
CCUUACUAUAAGUGUUGUCUAAGCAUGGCUGUCGUCAAGACUCAAUAACACCAGAAACGCGAACGUUAGUCGUCUUAAACAGGCGUAAAGAGUGAGUAGGCAGCUUACAAAUUUUUAAAUUAAGCUAAGCUAAAUAAUUUAACAGAACAAAUUCCCUUAAAAGGUCUGAAACAAUAGAACCUGUUAAAUUAUCUUUAUCUCUCUUCUUGUCUUUUGCUUUUACUUAGUAAAAGUUAAGAGUCGCCUUUUGCGAAGUAAGUGAGAUUUUUAUUAAUUUAAAGAAAAUAAAAGCUAGAAUCUUAUAGAGGAUUAACCAAAUAAUACUUAUGUGUAGGGAUGAGAUCCGAAGAUACUAAGUAGAAUA